rnacentral:sRNA from 1 species
GCCACGUCAUCAGCACUUUACACUUUUUUCUUCCAGAGACAAUAUUAUAUUGUUAAUGUCUAUACUCCAAAGUAAAGAAGACAAUACACCUCUUUUUAGAUGCACAGAUCCCAAGCCUGCCGUAAUACAUCUUCUAUGGGACAAAAACAGCACUCCAUGGAUGAAACCUCAAAAUUUGCAUCAAAAAGCUGUUAUCUGAUGGAAAAUCUUAUUCAGAUAUAAGGAAAGUAGUUGACUGUUGCAAACAAAACGAUCAUUAACGCUCUUACGUUCAAGUUUAAAAUGAAAUCAUGUCGAUGAAAACUUCUGAAGGUGUGGAAGCCGUUUACUCUGGAACAACAAUUCAAAUUCGUAUAGUUUAAGAACACAUAGACCCUUCUUUUCGCUAAACACAUAGCUAGAAGAUUGACUUUUGCUAAAGCAUGAAAAUGGCGGAGAGUUAUUUGCACGGAUGAGUUCACUUUUGUCCUAUCUGGGGAAAAAAGCGUGGUUUGCGGACAACCUAAAAAGUGUCAUAAACUGAAAAGUCACAACACUUAAACCCCAAUGAAAAUUUGUGGACAGCAAUUAAGUAAGGAGAGUAUCAAAGAAAUCUACUAACAAGAAACAAAAACCAUUGAAAUGUAAUAUAGGUUAUCUGGAGCUACUUUUCCUAAGAAAGAUGUCAAAAUCUUAUCAAAUCAGAUGGAAAGCUUUGCUUUACUGUCAUUGCUCACAACAUAGAAAAAAUUAAAAAUAUGGUUCAAUUAAGAAAUUUGUACAUACAAUUAAACAAUUAGCUGAAAUCGGACCU